rnacentral:rRNA from 1 species
AACGGCCAUACCAUGCUGAAUAUACCGGUUCUCUUUAGAUCACCGAAGUCAAGCAUCAUUGGGCACGGUCAGUACUUGGGUGGGUGACCACCUGGGAACACCACGUGCCGUU